GAUGAACGCUGGCGGCGUGCCUAAUACAUGCAAGUCGAACGGGGUGUUUGAGCAAUCGAACACUUAGUGGCGAACGGGUGAGUAACGCGUUGGUGACCUGCCCCAAAGCGGGGGAUAACAGCCUGAAAGGGUUGCUAAUACCGCAUGUGAUCGAGAGAGACUAGAAGCUCUUGAUUAAAGGAGCAAUCCACUUUGGGAGGGGCCUGCGUCCCAUCAGCUAGUUGGUAAGGUAAAGCCUACCAAGGCGAAGACGGGUAGGGGACCUGAGAGGGUGAUCCCCCACACUGGCACUGAAACACGGGCCAGACACCUACGGGUGGCAG
rnacentral:rRNA from 1 species